CGGAGGGUGCAAGCGUUAAUCGGAAUUACUGGGCGUAAAGCGCACGCAGGCGGUUUGUUAAGUCAGAUGUGAAAUCCCCGGGCUCAACCUGGGAACUGCAUUUGAAAACUGGCAAGCUUGAGUCUUGUAGAGGGGGGUAGAAUUCCAGGUGUAGCGGUGAAAUGCGUAGAGAUCUGGAGGAAUACCGGUGGCGAAGGCGGCCCCCUGGACAAAGACUGACGCUCAGGUGCGAAAGCGUGGGGAGCAAACAGGAUU
rnacentral:rRNA from 1 species